AUCCAGCUCACGAGUCACAAAUAGGACGAAACGCGCGUCCUGGAU
rfam:Schistosoma mansoni strain Puerto Rico chromosome 1, complete genome